UGCAGCCGCGGUAAUUCCAGCUCCAAUAGCGUAUAUUAAAGUUGUUGCAGUUAAAAAGCUCGUAGUUGAAUUUCGGGAUCAAUACGCCGGUCGUGCUUCGGUACGUACUAACGAUAUUGAUUUCUCCCUUCUGACGAACCGUGAUGUCAUUAAUUUGGUGUUACGGGGAGUCAGGACUGUUACUUUGAAAAAAUUAGAGUGUUUAAAGCAAGCAAUCGCUCGAAUACAUUAGCAUGGAAUAAUGAAAUAGGACGUUCGAACCUAUUUUGUUGGUUUCUAGGAUCGACGUAAUGAUUAAUAGGGAUAGUUGGGGGCAUUAGUAUUCAAUUGUCAGAGGUGAAAUUCUUGGAUUUAUUGAAGACUAACUACUGCGAAAGCAUUUGCCAAGGAUGUUUUCAUUAAUCAAGAACGAAAGUUAGGGGAUCGAAGACGAUCAGAUACCGUCGUAGCCUUAACCAUAAACCUAUGCCGACUAGGGAUCGGAUGAUGUUAAUUUUUAUGUACUCAUUCGGCGUCCGUU
rnacentral:rRNA from 1 species